UACAGAGGGUGCAAGCGUUAAUCGGAAUUACUGGGCGUAAAGCGUGCGUAGACGGUUAUUUAAGUCAGGUGUGAAAGCCCCGGGCUCAACCUGGGAAUUGCAUUUGAGACUGAAUAGCUAGGGUGCGGAAGAGGGAAGCGGAAUUUCCGGUGUAGCGGUGAAAUGCGUAGAUAUCGUGAGGAAGACCAGUGGCGAAGGCGGGUCUCUGGACAGUUCCUGACGCUGAGGCGCGAAGGCCAGGGGAGCAAACGGG
rnacentral:rRNA from 1 species